UGCAAGUGAUGUCUAUCUCACGAUGGUCUUCCUAGCCAGCAUGGCUCUGAGGACACUGCCUUAUGGCAACACUGAUGCAGCUCA